rnacentral:lncRNA from 1 species
AGCACUGUGCAGGGAACUGUGCUAAGUAGCCGUGGUCGCUGACUCUCUCAGAGGCCUCCGGUUUUGUUUUGAGAGCUGAACCUUUUUUUCUGUAUGUGAGCCAGAAAGGUCAUGCUGAGACCUGUCCACAUCCACGGUCCACCCAGGCUGGGCCUCAUCUCUGCUUUCUAACUGUGUGGAGGUAUCUGAUCAGCAUCCAGGGUACUCUGGGUCUCCCUGCUUCAGGAGAGUAAGGUCCCUGUGCCCACUGGGGUGCAGCUUUCAGAUAACCACAUCACCACAGGUUCAACAUAUACCCAAAGACCCUUGAGGCAUUUUCCCAGUAUACUACAGCAGACCUCCAGCUUGAGAGAGAAGGUCCUGCAGUCGAGGGCUAGGAUUCUAUUCCAGCUAAGUCCUGGUGGAGAAUGGACUUUGCCUCCCAGACAUGCUCUGUCUUCUCCUAAGGAUUAAUCCUGUUAACUAAUGCACUGGGUUCCUUGCUCAACUUUUUUUUUUCCCUUUUAGACGGAAUCUAUGUAAUCCUGGCUGUCCUAGAACUUGCUAUGUAGAUCAGGAUAACUUUGAACUCACAGCUCCAGCCUCUGUAGUUCAGGGAUUAAAGGCCUGGGCCAGCCAUUCCCUUCAGAGGCCCUUCUGCAAGGUAGCUGACCUUAUCUCUAAGAGCAAAGCUUUUCUUCUUCCUUCCCCCACAGCAGUUUAGAACAUUUAUAGCUGCCUGCCUUGGGGUUUUCCCUUUAAAGGCUAAUAAAUUCCCAAACUUCUAUUUCAGUCUGGUUUUGUCCUUGAGCUUGUUUGUGGCCAUUCUCUUUCUUGUCUCUUUCUGUCUGUCUUUUUGAGACAGAAUAUCUCUGUGUAGUCCUGGCUGUCCCAGAACUCACUAUGUGGGAGCAGGCUGGCCUUGAACUCAGAGAUCCUCCUGCCUGGCCGUUUAAAAUCCAUAUAUUAAUGAAACUUAAGAACCCCAAGAGGGGACCUUGAUUUCUCCAGUAUCACCAAGAUUUCUUCCUUUUAAUUCUUUAAUCGGCAGAGAAAACAAACUCUUUCCUAUAUCUCACUCCAGUAUCACCUGGGUCUUGGGUCUGACUUUGGCCAUUGUCAAGAAAAAGAGGUAGUGGAUUCAGAUGAGACAGCUUGAAACUACAUAUUUCCAAAAUGAGCUGGUCAAGGACCUCAUCACCCUAGUUAUCGCAGCAUGGUGGGGCAUGUCUUUAAUCCCAACACUCUGUGAGUUCCAGGCCAGCCAGCCACCUGUCUC